UUCCGGAGACAUUGGGAGAUUGAGCACUCCUUCAGAACGAUUCUACGGGGAAAACACAAAACAAAACAAAAAACAGUGGCCAGAGACUUGAGCAGGAUGUGUGAAGGGAUUUAAUAAUGGAACUUGUGGAAACAGUAGACUUCAGAGACCAGACUGGCGGCUUGAAGAAAGCUAUUUUCUCGUACCAAAUACAUUCCAUUUCCUAAGAUUAAUGAUUGUGCAUCAGGCUGAAAGAGCUUCCCGUUUUUCUUCUGGGGAUGGAUUUAGACGAACCAGAAGAAAGAAAAACGUAACUUCCCAACUCAUCAGGCAAUGUGUCUAAAUGGAGCAGAGAUAUCCUAAUUUUAUUAAAGAUGAGAAAACUGACGGUCAGAAGAUUGCUCAGUGCCAUACAGUUAAUGAGAGAUGAGUUAAGAUUCCAACACAGACGUUUCUUUUUCAGAAACAUGAGAUGUUAACCCUUAAGUCAGUGUUAUCAGAAUGUGAAUCCUGACCAGGAACAUCAACAUCACCUGGAAACUUGUUAGAAAUGCAGAUUCUCCAGACCUACUGGAUGGAAUGUCAGUAUUGCAACUGUGAUGCCUUUAUAUCAUGUGAGAAGAACAAUAGAGUCCUGGGAGGCAAGUGCAGAUGACCCCAAGGUCCUUGUGGACAAGGAAGUAAAAGCUAAGAAGAAAUGGCACGUUUCUUAGGAAACAUUUCAAUAUUGUUAUUUAUACAAGGAUGCAGAGAACAGUACAGCUGGAGAAUUAAAUGGAGAGAUCAGCGCACAGAUGGGUUGUCAUCACAGUGAAAACAGAAAAUUAAAAGAUGUCUCAUAGAGAACCCAUGGGCCGAAGACCAUCUUGAGACUUGCAGAGUGGCAAAUCACUAGAGGGCAAACGUCGCACUGCCUUAGAAAUGGAGUUGGUAUUGGUGAAUUCAAGAAGAGGACCAGAAGGAGGAGGAAGAGGGAAGAUUUUAAUGCUGUGCAGUGGUGCUCAGGUCUAGGUCAAGAACAAUGAGUCUCAUAUGAUUGUCUCUUGACUUUGACUAUCACGGUAGGACUUUACUGACAAGCCGGGUAAUAACAGGGAAAUCCUAUUCCUUUUGCCUUCAAAAUUUAUUUUGUCUUUAUUUCACUUGACCUGGUUCAUUUCCUCUAUAGUUUCUUAUUUCAGCAAUAUUUAUUGAACACUAUCAUGAUUAAUCAGGCACACCAGGUGCUGGUGACAAGAACAGUGAACAAAACGGACAAAAAUUCUUGUAAUCAUGGAGCAUGUAUUAUAGUAUGGAGAUAAAAAAUAAGCGAAAUAAGCUAACACAUACAGUAUGCUGCAAGCUGUAUGCUGUUGUAUGUUGUGGAGAAAAUAAAGCAGGGAAAAAGGAGUCAGAGAAUGGUGGAGGGGGUUGCAGUCAGACUACCUGCUUAGCUGCGUCCUGCACAAGGAUAUUUGGGCAGAGAUAAGCAUGAGCUGACAUCCAGCCAUCUUCUGGUGAGAAGGUGCCUUUUUCUGAGUAAUGACAGGGCUCCAGAAGCCUCAGGUAGUGAUCAAAAUGUUAAUCUCUGCCUUUAAACGGGACACUCUUCAAAAUGUCCUUCUGGCAAUAUUGAGUUCUUAAGCUUUUGAAUGCAUUGGAUAUAAGCUUUUGCCAAGGUUUUAAAAUUUUAUGCUAUAACUUUAAACCUUUUUGUAGAUGAGAAAAUCACAUAUUAUAGAAUUAAAAUCUUAUUCAAGUCUAACAACAUUCCAUCAGUUGUAUUUACUUUGUCUAUAUAGCCUGCUAGACUCUUACAGCAGAGUAGCAAAUGGGUUGAUGAGAUUCUCUUCAGAGAAUCAGAGUCAGGCUGAGCAUUCUUCCAUACGUGGCACUGUUGGUGUUUUUGGACUGAUUAUGUGAAGAGUAAACCCAGCAUCUUCUUGGGACUCCAAGGAAAGUUGCAUAUUCUAUAAUUUAUAGGGCCAUCACAAUUUUUCUAAUUAAAAACAAAUAUAACUUCUGCCCUUUUCAACCACAGCACAUAUGUUUUGUCUCCCAGUGUUCCCUAGUAAGAGAUAAUGGCCUGGCAGUGUAGACUCAUUUCUUGAGUAUUUUAAUUUGGAAGCCAAUUAGCCCUCCCUAUCUAAAGCACAUUUUGACAUUUUCUUCCCAAGACAAGCCAGUCUUGACUUUCUGCCCCUCUCUUGGUACAGACAGUGCAUGUUACAUGUAUUAAAUUACAAUUAUUUUAAUAAAAAAUUAAGAUUAAAAUUUGAAAACAUAGUCUGCUUAGAGAUACCAAGUUGUGGAGUGUGCUAUGUAAAAUGAGGACAAAAUUUUCACUGAACAUCUUCUUUCCCUUGAUAUCACUGAUCAAUUUUUUUUUUUUUUGAGACAGAGUCUCACUUUGUCAUCCAAGCUGGAGUUUAGUGGCACAAUCUCAGCUCACUGCAACCUUCGCUUUCUGGGUUCAAGCAAUCCUCCUGCCUCAGCCUCCCAAGGAGCUGGGAUUAUAAGUGUGUGUCACCACGCCUGGCUAUUUGUUUUGUAUUUAUUUAUUUAUUUUAUUUUAUGUAUUUAUUUAUUUUUUAUUAGUUUUUGAGACAGAGUUUCACUCUCGUCACCCAGGCUGGAGUGCAAUGGCACGAUCUUGGCUCACUGUAAUCUCCACCUCCUGGGUUCAAACAAUUCUCCUGCCUUAGCCUCCUGAGUAGCUGGGACUACAGGUGUGCGCCACUGUGCCCAGCCAAUUUUUUUGUAUUUUUAGUAGAGACGGGGUUUUGCCACUUUAGCCAGGAUGGUCUUGAACUCCUGACCUCAGGUGAUCUGCCCGCCUUGGCCUCCCAAAGUGCUGUGAUUAUAGGCAUGAAUCACCGUGCCUAGCCUGUAUUUUUGGUAGAGAUGGGGUUUAACCAUGUUGGCCAGGCUGGUCUCAAACUCCUGACCUCAAGUGACCUGCCCCCCUCUGCCUCCCAAAGUGUUGGGAUUACAGGCGUGAGCCACUGCGCCUGGCCAAUAUUUGAUUCCUACCUUUUAUUUCCCUUGUAAUUUCUGUUUUGCUUUGAUCACCUGAUUUUGUCCUAUAAGUUUCCGUACUCUCUUUUAGUGAGGAUGAGACUACGGGGUUAGCCUCAGAAUUACAGAAAAACUCAAUUUAGAAUUGUUAAAGGAGAAGAUAGAAAAGGACACUAGCUUGUGUGGAUGAAGAGGGUUAGUCAUUCUAACCAUUCUGGAGUGGAUGACAGUUAAAUGUUAAUCAGAAUUAUUGAGUCUCAGUGUCUUUUUUCUAUUUGUGCUAUUUCUCUCUUCCCUUGUUUCUCUUCACCAUCUUGUUGAGCAUUCCCCAUGGCUUUUCUUGGGUAAAAGCCAGACAACCAGGUACUGCAAGAGCACCGAACCCCUCCCUUGAUUCUACCCUUCAUUUUGCCUCUAGAUUUCACUCCCCUAUAUCUAUCUCCAUUACAUUUUCUUUGUAUCUACUAACUAAGGGAUACAGAUGUUCUUCCAAUACAGAGUGUGAUUGCAGCACAAUUACAAUUGAAACAAAAAGGAGAAGCUAACUUUGCUGAAAAUAUGCCAUAUUCAUUCUGAAUUCCUUUAAACUGUAGCACAUAUGCUUAUAUUCGUGGCAAUACGAAUUUGUAAGAAAAGGAAGAGAAAAAAGAUCUGCCUUCCUUCCCUGCAAAAUGGCAUCACACAUGACGAUCAGAGACUGAAUGUACAAAUGAAAAAUGGUUGGACCAUAUAAAAAAAAAAUAGAACUCUGAAUUAUGCUGCAACCUGCUUAGGAAACUAACUUCUUUAUCUACAAUAAGUAGUUCAGGACGCCAGCCUGCUAUAAGUUGCGGGGACCCACUUGAAACACGAGAGUUGAUAUGAAGAUUAUUUUAAACUGAAGAUAUCUGAGAUUCAACAGAUGCAAGGGAUAGCAUCCUUGGAGCUUGUCUUAUCUGACUAACAGCAGCAACUUCUGAAAAAUGAGGCUACAUAAAUCCCCUCUCCUGGGGAGUUUCAUGGCCAUGAAGAAGAUGGAAAGACCACCCACACCUGCAUAAACAAACAUUAUAGCAAAUUUUCUUAACUCCUGUUUGUUCUUCUAAAAACUCAUUUGUUUUUCCUAAAGAAACCUAUUUGUUCUAUGAGAGCCAUUUCUGCCCUCUCCCCUUUCUCUACUAAAUUAGCUAUAUGAACCUCUAACUUCGGUGAGCAAACUACUUCUUUGUUGUAUGUGAAGAAAACUUUUUUUUCCUUUUUAAUCUUUCUUUCGUCAGUAUAGGCCCCAGGUACUGAAGAUAAGAAUAUAGAGAAGUUUUUCUUCUGACAGACUUGCUGGAAGCCAGGUUGCUAUCGCUGGUAACAAUCCAGGAAGCUAACGGAUAACUUCUGUAACAACUGGACCCACACGGCCAGGACUUGAUUAAUGACUGACAUCUACCCGAAUUUUUGUGCCUACAUCCAAUUUAAGACCAAACAGAGAAAACGAAACACGCACCCCUAACCGAUCAUGCAGAAUGCCCCUACUUCUGUUUAGCCCGCCUACAGCUUCCCCAUGGCAACAGCCUCCAAUCGGGAUACACCUGAACCCUUCCCUCCCCACGCACUGCCCUGCUAUAAAGCUUUCUCAUUUCUCUGCCUUUGAAUCACUGCCAAAACACAGCGACAGUAGCUACCUCCCUUGCUGUAUAACAGGCUGUGAAAAAAUAGCACUUGCAUUUCUCAUUUGAUUGGUCGUCAUUUAUUUCUAUAACCAUGUGUUUCAUUCAUGCAAUUCAGAAGUUUCUUUGGAAUAACUUGCAGAGUAAACUAAAAAAUAUUUAUUUGCUAUGAUACUUUAUAUAUAUUUUCUGCUUAUUUAAGUUCCCUAUUGAGGUUUUGAAAUUCUCCCUGAUGCUGGUAGUAUAAAAAUCUUAUUUGAAGCAAAUCAAUUAAUCCUGAAGAUGACUGAAAGAUCAACAUGAGAUAGCUGCAGAUAAACCAACCAUUCUCUAAGCUCUAGGACACCUUCAAACAGCACAUUCU